AACGCACAUUGCACUCUGUUUCGGCAGAGUAUACCUGUUUGAGAAUCUAUAGUAUUCAUUCACCUAGUUGGUACUUUACGGUGCUGGCGAUGGUGAGAUUUGAGGCGUCGCCCUAACACGGCGUGCUUUUAAAACUAUGGUUGUCGGUUGCUGUUAGUAACGGAAAAGUAUGUGUAUGGACUUCGGUUCUCUUAUACCCAGUACGUAGGCAGCUUUUGGCCGGCACUCACCUAUUAAAGUCAGUUUUGCUGGCUUGAACCAUGGUCUCAAAUCAGGUAGGACGACCCGCUGAACUUAA
rnacentral:misc_RNA from 1 species